AACGCAUAUUGCACCUUUUGGUACUCCGAAAGGUACACCUGUUCGAGCGUCAUUUAAACCCUCAAGUUUUACUUGAUGUUGGAGAAAAUUUAGUUAAUAUCUCCUAAACUUUUAGGCACCUCCCAGUAAUUUUAGAGUGUGACAAAGUCAAAUACUCACUAAAAAUGAUGGGGGGUAUGUCAAAAAAUUAGUUGGAAAUUCAUUAAUUUUGAAAUUCUUCGGUAUUUUACUUACUAAAUCGAUCAACUUUAGUGGGAUACCCCUUUAAUUUCUCGAAAUUUUAGUGGGUUACCCCCUAAUAAUUUUCGGAUUUAGUGAAAUACCCCCUAAAAGUCUUUUGAAUUUACUGUAUACCCACUAAUUUUUCGUACUUUUGACCUCGGAUCAGGUGGGGAUACCCGCUGAACUUAA
rnacentral:misc_RNA from 1 species